CUCGGUCGAGGUCAGACCGGGCCCCGCGAGCUCAUGUUGCCGGGUGAGGGGCGCGGCAUACGCGAGAGGGCGGUUCAAGCGGCGCCCAGCUCAAAUACGACAGAUCGAAGAGCGACUGGACGGCGAAGAAGCAGUGAUAGCCGUUCACAAACGGUGUCAGUGAUCAUGCCCUCGAAUACUGCCAGGUAGCUACGACCCCGAGGCCGUUCCCAGUGACGACCGCCGACUGCCGACUGCUGACCAACCGCUCUCUCCAACUUCGGACAUCGCCGGCUUGCUUGGCCCAGCUCUGAGGAGAGAGUGGUGUUGGCCAGCACAAGACCAUGGUCAACAUAGACCCGAGAAACGGCGGCUUUCCCAGCAGCGGAGAUGAGCCUGCGUCACCGGAGACCGCUGACGCUGACCGUCAGCUGACCUGUGAGGGGUCGCCGCCGCCCUGCUGUCCGC